rnacentral:rRNA from 1 species
UACGUAAGGGGCGAGCAUUGUUCGGAAUUAUUGGGCGUAAAGGACGCGUAGGAGGUCCUGUCAGCCCGGCGUGAAAACCUGGAGCUCAACUCCGGGCCUGCGCUGGGAACUGCGGGACUAGAGUCAUGGAAGGGAAGUUGGAAUUCCAGGUGUAGGGGUGAAAUCUGUAGAUAUCUGGAAGAACACCGGUGGCGAAGGCGAACUUCUGGCCAAUGACUGACGCUGAGGCGCGAAAGUGCGGGGAGCAAACAGG